CGCCCCUCCACGCUUCUGCCUUGACCCUCACCACGCCCGCCAACCCGCCCCGCCUCCCCUUCAACGCGCCACUCCCUCCCCCACCACUCCGUGCCACGCCCGCUCUCCACGCCCUGCCCCCGUGGGAAUGUGCAAUGGGGCGGGCAGCGCGCCUUGAGGCUGGCGCCCUGGUAGGGGUGGGCUGACCAGCCUGAUGGGGGCUGAGACUGCCUGGAACCCAAACGGAAGCUCCCUGGCCUAUGUUUGAAACCGUGAAUUCACCGGCUAGAAUGGAAAUGCCAGGUACCUGGGAACCUGGAAGUUGCCUUUUCAAUGCUGCCUUUCCCGUUCUCCCCUCCAUCCCUCUGGCUGCAACGAUCCUCCCUCUGGAACCCCUGGUCAGGCUCACUUCAGAGUGCCCCUUGGACCCUGCCUGGCUGAACCAUCCACACCUUGGUCAGGCAUCUUGGAAGGACUGCCCCAGCCGUGUUAUAAAAGGAGAAAACGUCACAGUGGGCAGCCCCAUUCCUGCGUUAUCCAGACAGGAAACUCAGGUGCUCAGGUCAGUGAUGCCCCCCCAAGCUGCUUUGGGGACCACACCCACACCGCUUCUCUGACGGCCCACACAGGCUGGUUCACCGCAUCCUUGUCCCACUGUGGGCCUCUUGACCUAAUCAACACAGGCAACAGGACCAGAAGUUCCCAGCAGUACCCCCAAAAUGUUAGGGAAGUUUGUGUAGGAAGGUGUUACACAACUUCAGCAUUUCUGCUCUACAAUGCAGCUCCUUUGGAACCACUUUUAACAUCCCUUUUUAAAUAUCCCUUUGGAACCGAGUUUAAUAAUUUGUUGCUGUUGGGAGUUACAAUAAUUCUGUUAAGUCAUUUUCCCAUUUAGUUUCUCUGAUAAUUCCGAGUUCUACAUUACUACCUGCCUCUCAGAUGAGUGCUGGCAGCCCCAGUUCUGUACAGGGAGGAUGCAAAACGGCAGAAUAUCUGUGGUGCAACUUUCUGGAGCAUCAGUUUACUACAAGAUUUGGAAGAAUAAGUUAAGUAAUUUCCAAGGUGCUGGAGAUAGUCCUGAACAGCACAGCUUAGGGUCCUGUGCCAUGAAGGAGCCUACACACUAGUCCUGGGAGAUGAGACAAGCAACAAGCAAGUAAAUCCUGGAAAGAUCAAGGUCACUUCAGAUGGUGAUGAAGCAGAGUCAUGUGAUUGAGAGAGCCCACAGGUCUGGGUGGGCCAUGGUCACCCUGGUUUAGAUUGGCUGGUCGGGGUAGGUCUCCCUAAGGAGGUAAGAUUCGAGUUUUCCAGGUAGGAGGUACACAGGAAGAAUGAAACCGUGAGGGUGGGAGCCCAUCUGAGUGCUGUGGCUGCCAGCCUGGAAAAGUGACUGAUGGGGAGAAAGGUAUCAGGUGAGUUCAGAGAGGGGGCCGAGGCCAGAUCACUUGCCUAACACUUUUAGCAUCUAAAUGUCAACAUAGGCACUUAAAGAUCACAAUCUGGGGGCCGGCCCUGUAGCUUAGUGGUGCAGUUCGGCAUGCUCUCCUUUGGUGGCCCAGACUUGGUUCCUGGGUGUCGAUUUACACCACUCAUCAGCCAUGCUGUGCUGGUGACCCACAUACGAAAUAGAGGAAGAUUGGCAACAGAUAUUGGCUCAGGGUGAAUCUUCCUCAGCAAAAACAAAAAAGCAAAUCACAAUCUGUUUUCAAAACUAUAAAGCAAAGUUGAGGUCUAUCCCAGUGGGGUGUUUUCUGUAGACCUACAUUGUUGGAAAUGCCUCAUAGAGUAAUUACGUGGUUUCCUUUACUCACAGAACUAUGUGUUAGAUCUGUGGGAAAGAAGUACAACACAGAGCUGCUAAAACUAUGAAAGACUUAAUGGUCAGUUUUUUUUUAAUCUUUGGCAUUGGUGUAUCCCGAGAUCUGUACUGUUCUAGGGUGAUAGCUUAGGAGUGAGUAUGAUUUGAACUUGCUCAUGUUUACAGGGUAUACAAUACUGAGAACCAGUUAGAUCCAUCGACUCUGACCCUAAAUGUGGCCCUAAGGUAAACUGGUUGAAGAAAUUGGAUCCUAAAGAUUACAGGUGGAGAAUUUUUAAAGGAUGUCCAUAUUCGAGGGAAGACCAAAGAAUCCCAACUGAAAGAAUUGUGAACUGACUGACAUGAUAGCCACGGAUUGAGCACAAUUUCUUUUUAAAAGGGCUGUCUUGAAGAUUAUGACUCAAACUUUGGAGGAACUAAGUUCACAGAAAUGGGGAAAUGAAAGUGCUACUGCUAUUGAGAAAACGUUAAAACCAGUGAGGAUUUAUCCAAAGAACAUGAAAACACGAAUGCAUAAAGAUACAUGCACCCCUAUGUUCAUCGCAGCAUUAUUCACAACAGCCAAGACUCGGAAACAACCUAGGUGCCCAUCAAGAGAUGAAUGGAUAAAGAAGAUGUGGUAUAUACACAAUGGAAUACUAAGCCACAAAAAAGGAGGAAAUCUGGCCAUUUGUGACAACAUGGAUGGAACUUGAGGGCAUUAUGCUAUAAGCAAAGUAAGUCAGAGGGAGAAAGUCAAAUACCAUAUGAUCUCAGUUGUAAGUAGAAGAUAAAAACAAUGACAAACAAUCACACAGGGACAAAGAUUGGAUUGGUGGUUACCAGAGGGGAAGCGGGGAGGGAGGAGAUCGAAAGGGGUGAUCAGGCACGUGGGUGUGGUGCUGGAUUGCAGUUAGUCUCUGGGUGGUGAACGUGAUGUAAUCUGCAUAGAAAUCGAAAUAUAAUGAUGUACACCUGGAAUUUGUAUAAUGUUAUAAACCAAUGUUAAUGCCAUAAAAAGAGACAAAAAGAGAGAGGAAAAACCAGUGGGUUAUCCAAAACUUUGUCCUCAAUCAAGUGCCAGUUGGACCAAUCUCAACCGAAUAAUUAGUCAUGAAGAAAACAAACUAUUUUGCAACACCGUUAGCUCUCAGGAGACAGACUUGAACCACCACCCAUA
ensembl:lncRNA